AUGGCUCAGGACGAACGCUGGCGGCAUGCCUAACACAUGCAAGUCGAACGGGGGUAGCAAUACCCUAGUGGCGAACGGGUGAGUAACACAUAGGCAGUCUGCCCUUCACAGGGGGAUAACAGCGGGAAACUGCUGCUAAUACCGCAUAAGACCACGGUACCGCAUGGUACAGGGGUAAAAACGAAUCAGUGGUGAAGGAUGAGCUUAUGUCCCAUUAGCUAGUUGGUGAGAUAACAGCCCACCAAGGCGACGAUGGGUAGCCGACCUGAGAGGGUGAUCGGCCACACUGGAACUGAGACACGGUCCAGACUCCUACGGGAGGCAGCAGUGGGGAAUAUUGGGCAAUGGAAGGAAACUCUUACCCAGCAAUGCCGCGUGAGUGAAGAAGGUCUUCGGAUUGUAAAGCUCUUUGAUUGGGGACGAAGAAAGUGACGGUACCCAAAGAACAAGCCCCGGCUAACUACGUGCCAGCCGCCGC
rnacentral:rRNA from 1 species